rnacentral:rRNA from 1 species
CGCGGCCUAUCAGCUUGUUGGUGGGGUGAUGGCCUACCAAGGCGACGACGGGUAGCCGGCCUGAGAGGGUGUCCGGCCACACUGGGACUGAGAUACGGCCCAGACUCCUACGGGAGGCAGCAGUGGGGAAUAUUGCACAAUGGGCGCAAGCCUGAUGCAGCGACGCCGCGUGAGGGAUGACGGCCUUCGGGUUGUAAACCUCUUUCGCCAGGGACGAAGCGCAAGUGACGGUACCUGGAGAAGAAGCACCGGCCAACUACGUGCCAGCAGCCGCGGUAAUACGUAGGGUGCGAGCGUUGUCCGGAAUUACUGGGCGUAAAGAGCUCGUAGGUGGUUUGUCGCGUUGUUCGUGAAAACUCACAGCUUAACUGUGGGCGUGCGGGCGAUACGGGCAGACUGGAGUACUGCAGGGGAGACUGGAAUUCCUGGUGUAGCGGUGGAAUGCGCAGAUAUCAGGAGGAACACCGGUGGCGAAGGCGGGUCUCUGGGCAGUAACUGACGCUGAGGAGCGAAAGCGUGGGGAGCGAACAGGAUUAGAUACCCUGGUAGUCCACGCCGUAAACGGUGGGUACUAGGUGUGGGUUUCCUUCCUUGGGAUCCGUGCCGUAGCUAACGCAUUAAGUACCCCGCCUGGGGAGUACGG